AAGCGCGGUUUACACGAGGAAUGUUUACCCAUGAUCCGGGAACAAGCUUUGGCUAAACUGUGAUCCGGCUCAGCAAGUUCCCGGGUUUCAAGGUUCCGUUCGGAUGGUGAACUUGCUGACGCUACGCGGGAACUCACGACUGGACGACGAUUUGCUGCUUGCUCUCCUCGUGUGUUGACAAGUGUUUAAAAUUAUGGAGAACGAGUUAUUGUGGCCCAGGAGUGUUAUCAGAUAUUUGUGCGAACUGGUAGAAGGGCACAGAUUCCUCUGGGACCCACAAAAUGUGGACUAUCCCAAGCAUAAACUCAGAUUGAAAGUGUUUGGUGAGAUAGCCCAGGAAAUCAAGGCUCAAUACCCUGCAAUGACCACUUUGACUGCAGAUCAAGUUCGUGCUAAAUUUAAGAAGCUGAAGGCAUACUUUCUGCGAGAGCACAAAUAGAUACAGUCAGCACCAAGUGGCUCAGCAGGCAAGACACCUACAAAAUGGGAAUAUUACGACUGCCUUGCAUUCCUAGGUCCAAGUGAGGAGCUCACAACAGAGGCAUGCUGGUCGGGACCAACACACAAGGAACCUUCAUUACCCAUGCCAGAAUUUCCACCUGAAGAGUCAUCCAUCUAUUUAGUUGAAGAAGCCAGUAUAUGUGAGGGACUUGAGGAAACUGGUUUUGAAACAGACCAGAUCAGUCAUUCCACUGAACAAGCCAAACAGGUGACUGCAAAUGAUCUUGCUGAUGCCUUGAGGACAUUCAGUAAGGAACACAACCCUGGGUCACUUACAAGUUCAGCUUCAUCAUCCCUUCUGACGACUCCAUCAUCAUCUAGUCCAGUUUUGUCAGCAGCUGAAGGCCAGCCUAGGCAUUUGUCUUCGAAUGCCAUGAAGAGGAAACGAGCCAAGGCAUAUGAUUCAGCACUAGAAGUUGCAUUACAAAUGAGUGCGCAAGAACCACUGACCCCUUCAUUCUCCAAGUGUGUUGGGUCAAUGAUUGAAAAUAUCAUAAAUCUAGUUCCAUCACACAUGCAGUAUGAACUUAGUUUUGCUAUUUUGAAUAGUGCUCAAAAGGUAUAUGAGGAUUUUGUAAAAAAAAAAAAAAAAAAAAAAAAUUGUAAAACAGAACAUUUUUUAGCAUUUGUACAUUUAUAACAUUUUCUGUAAUUAUUGCAUUCAGCUGAUAUUUUUGGUUAAGUAAAAUAAGU